GGCGUCGCGGCGAGCAGAGCACCCCAUGACACGGAUGUCUCCCCGGAGCCUCGCGAAGAUGCCGGUCUCCACUGUUCGCCUGCCGCGUCACUCGCGGCUCGCAGGCGCGCGGCGCAACCGCGCUCGAUCGACCUGGCCGUCCCCGGCGGUGUCCAAGGCCAGAGCAUAGCACAUUGCCAAAGGCAACCAUACUGAUAUGGUCGUGGCCUUGGCUGCCUCCAAGUCGCUGGCGCAUCUGCGUGCAUGGCAGCUACCCACCUUCCUCUCUCGGCAUCUCCUCGUUUCGUUUCUGUGUGCCACUUGCAUCGGCUCGAGACUGAAUAUGAGAUGCAUCAAAGGCCCGAUGGGAAUAGCAGGAGACCCGGAAGCUCUCUGAUGUCAACUAUCAUAGCAGAGAGGAGGGCAUGCAGGCAAGGUGCAUGACAAAAUGUCACUGCAGGUUGCAAGCAACUGACUGCUAGACUAAGGGCAGCCUCAAGGUUGCUGCUACGAGAAAGAAGACUAAAUUGCAACAAAACUCCAUGUCUUGAGCAUUAAUCUACUGCCGUUCUCUCCUUGGAUUCAUUAUGACCGUACAUCAACCUUUAUAUCAUUCCUGAAUCAGAGAAUUUCAAGAGAAGUGAACAAAAAAUAAUAAGUUGGACAAAUCGGUUUGCGUUGGAAACUCCAUAGCCAUCGAAGGUUAGAACUAGAUUAAAAAAUGCACCAUACGCUUGUAUAGUACUCCAUUUGUUCUAUCAGUACUUCACUAAUGGGUGUGGUAACCCAGCCAUGGGACAUGGAGUGGUCAGAGAACAUAUGUAUGAGAUGGAAGAUGAUUUUUUGUAUUACAUUGGUACUUUGUAUACUCAUGUUAAUUUUUAUUUGCAAAAUACGAAAGCUUUGCUAAGUCGUCACUUUCACUAUAUGCCAUCUCAUAUUGUAUUGGAUCAACUUUGUAUGUUCCUAUAAUACUAAUGAUGAAAUCAA